UGACAUUGCUCCUCCAAAGUGCGCCACCUCC
rnacentral:piRNA from 1 species